UACGGGGGGAGCAAGCGUUGUUCGGAUUUACUGGGCGUAAAGGGCGCGUAGGCGGCGUAACAAGUCACUUGUGAAAUCUCCGGGCUUAACCCGGAGCGGCCAAGUGAUACUGUUGUGCUAGAGUGCGGAAGGGACUACUGGAAUUCUCGGUGUAGCGGUGAAAUGCGUAGAUAUCGUAAGGAAGACCAGUGGCGAAGGCGGGUCUCUGGACAGUUCCUGACGCUGAGGCACGAAGGUCAGGGGAGCAAACGGG
rnacentral:rRNA from 1 species